rnacentral:rRNA from 1 species
UAUCGGAUUGAUACUAAGCCAUGCGAGUCAUUGUAGCAAUACAAGGCAUACGGCUCAGUAACGCGUAGUCAACCUACCCUAUGGACGGGAAUAACCUUGGGAAACUGAGAAUAAUGCCCGAUAGAACAUUAUGCCUGGAAUGGUUUAUGUUCCAAAUGAUUUAUCGCCGUAGGAUGGGACUGCGGCCUAUCAGUUUGUUGGUGAGGUAAUGGCCCACCAAGACUAUUACAGGUACGGGCUCUGAGAGGAGUAGCCCGGAGAUGGGUACUGAGACACGGACCCAGGCCCUAUGGGGCGCAGCAGGCGAGAAAACUUUGCAAUGUGCGAAAGCACGACAAGGUUAAUCCGAGUGGUUUSUGCUAAAGGAACCUUUUGUCAGUCCUAGAAACACUGAUGAAUAAGGGGUGGGCAAGUUCUGGUGUCAGCCGCCGCGGUAAAACCAGCACCUCAAGUGGUCAGGAUGAUUAUUGGGCCUAAAGCAUCCGUAGCCGGCUCUGUAAGUUUUCGGUUAAAUCUGUACGCUCAACGUACAGGCUGCCGGGAAUACUGCARAGCUAGGGAGUGGGAGAGGUAGACGGUACUCGGUAGGAAGGGGUAAAAUCCUUUGAUCUAUUGAUGACCACCUGUGGCGAAGGCGGUCUACCAGAACACGUCCGACGGUGAGGGAUGAAAGCUGGGGGAGCAAACCGGAUUAGAUACCCGGGUAGUCCCAGCUGUAAACCAUGCAAACUCAGUGAUGCAUUGGCUUGUGGCCAAUGCAGUGCUGCAGGGAAGCCGUUAAGUUUGCCGCCUGGGAAGUACGUACGCAAGUAUGAAACUUAAAGGAAUUGGCGGGGGAGCACCACAAGGGGUGAAGCCUGCGGUUCAAUUGGAGUC